AGGGGGGGCGGAACGGGCAGGCAGACGCUCAGUGACGAAACAAACGGGAAACGACGGAGGGCGGCGCAUGCGCACAGCCGGCUGGACUGUUGCAGGAGCGGAGAGAGAAUUCCGAAGCUCCAGUGGCCGGGAGGCUGAGGGAGGCUGCCUUGGUAGGAGGGUUGGUUCCGCUCGCUUUUCUGAGCGGAAAUGACAGCUGCCCAUGUGCGGCGCAGGCAUCGAGGGUUGGGGCCGGGCAGAGUAAGCGGGAAAGGAGAGGCUGAAGGGAAAGGAGCUGCUCAGUUUUCCUCGUAGUCCGACUGAAGUCCGCUGCUAAGUGGUCUGAAGUUCACUGAGGAUCCCAGGGAAGAGUUUAGCUAGCAGCCACCGUAAAGAGACGGGCUGCGGGCUGCUUGGGUCUGCAGAAAGGAUGCGUUUCCCCGAAGUGCGAAGCAGUUACGUGGCCUUGGUGAAUCUAGUCAUUAUGUCUUAUAAGUCGAGGGCGAUCACUUGUCGCCAAGCCAGUUUCCGGCAAAAAAUGCUUAUAGGAAUGGAUUCGCUUAAGGACCAUGACGUUCACUUAAUGAUUGCCCCGGAAAAAGUCAUAAUAUUGGGCCAGUCACAUGGAUGCCAAUUUCCACUACUUACAAUGAAAUUUCGGGACUCCAUUAUGCUCACAAGUUGAGGACUAUUUAUAUUAUACUGGAAUGGCUGUUUAGAGGUCUGAUAAGAACAAAAUGCUGGAAUCUACACUUUGAAAGCUCAUUUAAAAGAGAUGUAACAAUUUAACAGAAUAACAGAGUUGGAAGGGACCUUGGAGGUCUUCUAGUCCAACCCCCUGCUCAGGCAGGAAGCUCUACACCAUUUCAGACAAAUGGUUGUCCAAUCUCUUGUUAAAAACUUCCAUUGUUAGAGCAUUCAUAACUUCUGGAGGCAAGUUGUUCCACUGAUUAAUUGUUCUGUCAGGAAAUUUGUCCUUAGUUCUAGGUUGCUUCUCUCCUUGAUUUAAUAGCUAAUUAGAUGUAUCCUUCUACCCAAUCCAGGAACUGUAAAACCAGUUAUAUCAAGAUGUUACUGUCCAGAUCAUGAUUUUAAUUUGAAGGUUUUGAGGCAGUUCUGCAGACUUUUAAAGCUGAUUUUAUUAGAGAGUACACAAGCAACAAUUUAUUUUGAAAACCUACAUUCAGAGAAUGUGGAGGGUAAUUUGUAAAAACUUCAAUAUUGAAGAUAAUAUAUGAAAUAUUCAAUAAAUACACUAUUGAAGAUAUGGAAUAGGUUAAAUCCCAAAACAUGUUAUCACACAUCCAGUAACGCAGUGGAGAGAGAUCUGUUUUGAGGAUCACAUUCAGAUUUAUGUAAUGUUUGAAGAUCACAAGUCUUAACAUGGUUGAACAAAAAGUAGAUUAGAGGGCAGAAUAUUAAAAUGGCAGAAUUUAAAUUCAUAUGUAACGUUAUAAAUAAAAUAUGCUAUCUGCUGUAGCCAAACAGAUGCUUUUAAGAGGACUACGAUAAGGGCAUGAAAUUAUCCAGGAUGGCAUAUAUUUAAAAUUUGGGAAUGAAUUUUAAAUCAAAUUCAAUUCUAAAAAUAUUUUAAAUUUAUUUUCUCAACUAUACCUUUUUCAUCUUUUCAAAUGCCCAAAAUAACCAAAAGAAAUGUUGAUUACACAUACUUUAGAAUAUUCUAUCUUUAAUUUUAAGAGGAUCAAAUGGGCAACUGUAGCUAAAAUAUACCUAGGAACACAUACUGUUUGUUACUAUUACCUAUUUUAUCCCUUGUUGAUACACUUCCCAGAAAUUUUGGUUACUGUAGUAAAUUGGGUUAAAUGCAUGACUUUAUAGUAGCAGACUAAGUGUUUUAUACAUAUCUUUCCAAGUGCAGAAUUUGGAGUUCUAGAAUAUUUGCCAAUAGCACAAACUGAAUUCAUAUGUAUAUCUGUAACUAGCUGUUGGAAAAAAAUUUCCUACAAGGCUGAAAAAGGACACUUCCCUGAGGAAUAUUAAAAUUAAUAGGGAAGUUUUUCUAACAUUAGUAUAUUAUGAAGAAUGCACAUUCUUUAAAUCUCUUGAGACUAUAAAGCCUAUAUAACAAAAUAGAGCAAAUCACUUUUUCACUUAUUUGCCUUGGUAUAGUUAAAUAUACGAAAUGUAACAACAGAAUCUCAGAAAGUUAUUUCCACUCCCUCCCACAACAAAAUGCAAGGAC